rnacentral:rRNA from 1 species
GCGGUCUGGCCAAUGGGCGCAGCCUGAUGCAGCCAUGCCGCGUGAAUGAUGAAGGCCUUCGGGUUGUAAAGCUCUUUCAGCGAGGAGGAUGGUGACGGUGUUAAUAACCUUGGCGAUUGACGUUACUCGGCCAACAAGCACCGGCUUCUCCAUGCCAGCAGCCGCGAUAAUA